rnacentral:rRNA from 1 species
AGAUUGAACGCUGGCGGCAUGCCUUACACAUGCAAGUCGAACGGUAGAGUAGCAAUACUUGAGAGUGGCGAACGGGUGAGUAAUAUAUCGGAACGUGCCCAGUCGUGGGGGGAUAACGUAGAGAAAUUUACGCUAAUACCGCAUACGAUCUAAGGAUGAAAGCGGGGGAUCGCAAGACCUCGCGCGAUUGGAGCGGCUGAUAUCAGAUUAGGUUGUUGGUGAGGUAAAAGCUCACCAAGCCGACGAUCUGUAGCUGGUUUGAGAGAACGACCAGCCACACUGGGACUGAGACACGGCCCAGACUCCGUACGGGAGGCAGCAGGUGGGGAAUUUUGGACAAGUGGGACGAAAGCCUGAUCCAGCAAUGCCGCGUGCAGGAAGAAGGCCUUCGGGUUAGUAAACUGUCUUUUAGUACGGUAACGAAAAGGU